rnacentral:rRNA from 1 species
AACGAACGCUGGCGGCAUGCCUAACACAUGCAAGUCGAACGAGACCUUCGGGUCUAGUGGCGCACGGGUGCGUAACGCGUGGGAAUCUGCCCUUGGGUUCGGAAUAACAGUUAGAAAUGACUGCUAAUACCGGAUAAUGUCUUCGGACCAACGAUUUAUCGCCCAGGGAUGAGCCCGCGUAGGAUUAGCUAGUUGGUGAGGUAAAGGCUCACCAAGGCGACGAUCCUUAGCUGGUCUGAGAGGAUGAUCAGCCACACUGGGACUGAGACACGGCCCAGACUCCUACGGGAGGCAGCAGUGGGGAAUAUUGGACAAUGGGCGAAAGCCUGAUCCAGCAAUGCCGCGUGAGUGAUGAAGGCCUUAGGGUUGUAAAGCUCUUUUACCCGGGAUGAUAAUGACAGUACCGGGAGAAUAAGCCCCGGCUAACUCCGUGCCAGCAGCCGCGGU